CAGUAUUAUUCCGGACUCGACUAAGAGAGGACGUUUGGUUUUUAUGUCUUUAGUUCUAACAUUACAAAACACAAAGUUUACAUUUUCAUAAAUAGUCUGAAUAUCAACGAAGUGUGAGCCAACUUUUCUCGAGCGGCUUAAUUAAAUUUCAUCCGUCUUCAAAGUCAGGAAAACUAUUUGCAAACUUUUAGAUUAAUAUUUGACAAUCCCGUCCAUCGCGCCUAUAAAAUUUUUGCCUGAAGAGAGCCGAGUGGAAUCAAAAUUGGAUUGGAGAAGAAUUUUAACGUUUUCGCCACAAACAAAAUUUUUCUUCACUUACAAUAAUGAGAUGAAAAUUUAAUCUACGAAAAUGGGUCGCAACUCUGGCGGAGUCGACGCGAAUGGCGAACUCCGGAUUCUGCUGGUAGUGACGGUCGUGGUGGGGUUACUCCUCAUGUUUUCAUUGCUCAUGUGUUACGCGUGCGUAUUGAAGCGACUGUGCUGUGGCACGCCCAGGGAACGUGCUAAGAAUGUUGCUUGUGGCAGAAGAACCGAAAGCUAUCCUAUGGGUGACGUCACUCUACUCUCCCAACCAACAGAAAGUGAAAGAGUCUAGAUCGAAAAAGAAACAUAAGUCCGGAUAAGUGUGCUUAGUGCGAGUUUCUUAACGUUCUCGAUAGCGUAAAAGUUAGCUCAUAUUUGUAUGGAAUGGAAACGUUUGCGUACGUUUGCCGUUAGGGGCGCUGUUCCAAUUGCAUACAAUAUUGACUUAACUUUUACGCUGUCGAACUAAGCACACAGGUUAUGAAACCUUAAACUAAACAUCAGAUUAAAGUUUGCAAUUCCCUAUGUAUUUAGACCUUUGACUCUGCCCUCUGUAUCCCCCUUCAUUGUGUUUAGAUUUAGUCUUAAGGUUGUGAGAGUAUUUUUUAUCGCAACUGGCUGCCACCGCGUUAAAGUCACAACUGGAACUGCAUCAUUAGGGAUAUUCCAAGUUAGAUUAUCGUAAUGCUACGAACCUUAAAGAACUGCGCUAUUAAACGUUGAUUUAUGCGUUUGGCAAAUCUAAUCAAGACUAUAUGAAGGACACUGUAUGCGUUAACAUUAUUUUAAUAGUGUAUUUAAAUUUUGUAAUCGAAAACGUUUGACUUUUUUUUUUGUAUUUGGCAAAUCUAGUCACAACUGUAUGAUGAAUACUGUUUACGUUUAUAUUAUAUUAACAGUAUGUUUAAAUUUUGUAAUAAGCAUUUGUAUAUUUUAAAUAAUUAAAAAUGUAUAUAUCAACUGAAAUAUUUAAUAACCCAAAGGCACAUAAUUGUAUAAUAAAUAAAUUAAAACAAUUAUAUAUGAAACAAGUUUAAUAUAUUCAAUAACAUUGUUAAUUUAAAUAUAGGUACUUAUGUUACAAGGCACUCAAAUUACAUAAGAUUUUGGAUUGUUUCUUCGAUCCAUUUUACAGUAUGACAAAAUUGUGUAAACUUUGUUUACAUUGUAGAGUAAGUAUAUCGAAACAUUUCGAUUUUUGCAAGCCGUAGACAUAAUAACUAUCAAAACUACUUUAAGGUUUAAUCUCGCGAAUUUUUGUUGAAAUUAUAAUAAUAUUAUUUCUGUGAACACGCAAACUGUUAAAUAUUCGAAACAUUGGAAAUAAUAUAAUGAUUAUAAAAAAGCGACAUUAAACUGCACAAGUAGUUUUAAUUAUAUCAAAACCUAAUUCUCAAGCUUUAUGAAAUUGUCAUUCUUUUUUUCAAUGUGUUUUUGAUAGAUACUUUUAUUGUGAUUUAUGGCAUGCUCUCAUUCGUUUUACGAUACAAUAUAGACAUCUUUGAAAACAUCACGAGUGUUUCAAUUUUAUUUAUGAGCCUAUAUGAUGCGCGAUGUGCGAGGGGUGUUCAAUAAAUUGUGAAAAUGCGAUACAUUCUCCUAUAACAAAAAAAAACAAUAGAUUUUCUUUUGUUUUUUUUUUAAUAGAAGUCAUCGAUUUUAGUGGUGUCGGAAAGUAUUCUUAAAAUUGGAUAAAUUGAAGUUCGCGCGGUAAAAAAAUAUCGCUGUUUGAAAAAUUUUACUACGGAGCUGGCAUAUCAAGAUUUGAGAGCAACAUUAGGAGUUCAUGCUCCUCCGUAUUCUACGGUUGCGCUUUGGUGUCAACUCAGCAAAGUUCAAGUGAGGAAGAACUUCCAUUAACGACGUCCCCCGCACGGGACGCCCUACAUCGGUAGUGACUGAAGAAAUGAUUUAAAAAAAUGAAAAAAAUGUCUUGGCGUAUCGUCGUAUUGCUGUUGUUUUAUAGCAGAAUAUAAAAGUAUGAAAAAAGUCUCAGCGCGCUGAAUGACCGGAAAGCUGUCUGACGCGCAGAACCAAGCAAGAGUGAGUAUUUCACAAAGCUGUUUGACUUUGUUGCUACAAGAACUUUACUGAUUUUUGGCUCCAUUCAUACUAUAGACGAAAUAUGGCUUCACCAUUAUUAUCCGAAAAAAAAAAAAAAAAAAACAAUCCACGACUUGGAAGAGACCAAAGCGAUUCCAUCAGCCGGUAAGAUCGUGGGUUUUUUCUGGGACAGCCAAGUGGUGGUAAUGAUCGAAUACCUUAAUCAUGGAGCCACUAUUACGGAGACUUUGUACGCAGGACAAAUGACAAAGUUGCGUGAGGAAAUACGCAAGCAACCGCGUGGCAAACGCUAAAAUUGCUUUGUUUCACUAAUAUAACACCCCGCGCAUAAGUCCAGAGUUGCGAUGGCUGCCAUACAAGAAGCUGCCUUUGAAUUGAUGGAACAUCCUCCAUGUUCACCGGACCUAGGUUCUAGUGAUUUCUACGUAUUUUCGCGGUUAAAGGAACAUCUCAGGGGUCAUAAAUUUGAAGAUGAUGACGCAAUAGUCGCCGCGGUAGACGGUUUCCUAAGGGUUCAAGAAGUUUGUUUUUGAAAUGGAAAUUUUAGUUUUAGAAAAAAGGUAUAAAAAGUGUAUCUAAAAACUAUACCUGUGUAUCUAAAAGGUGACUACGUCGAAAUAUAAUAUUAUGAAGUUAAAUAAGAGAUAAUUGCGUCAUACUCUAAUCACUUUUUAAUGAACACUCCUAGUAUUGUGCUACUAAAAUAAAUUUGAUAACUCAAGAAUAAUCGCGGUAAUGCAGAAACAAAAUAAUAAGUAGAAUAAAACGUUAAUUGGCAAAAUUAUUAUUCUAGUACAUUUUUUUUUUGAGGUUACUCAAACUGCUGUGAUAUAUUUUGAAAAUAUAUUUGUUAUUUAAAGUGUGUAGUUCUGAUCUCUCAGCACACCGUGUACCAUAGUCCUCAAGGAUUGUGGUUUGCAAUAUUCUUCCAGCCAAUUGAAGACACCCGCUGAGAACUCAGCGAAGUCGUUUGUCGGUACAGAUUCAAAUGAUUCAAACAGCUUGUCCAUUAUACCCUGAAACUAAAUUUUAAUAAAGUUUGUGUUGUUCAAAUA